UGGGGAAUAUUGCACAAUGGGCGCAAGCCUGAUGCAGCGACGCCGCGUGAGGGAUGACGGCCUUCGGGUUGUAAACCUCUGUUAGCAGGGAAGAAGAGAAAUUGACGGUACCUGCAGAGAAAGCGCCGGCUAACUACGUGCCAGCAGCCGCGGUAAUACGUAGGGCGCGAGCGUUGUCCGGAAUUAUUGGGCGUAAAGAGCUUGUNGGCGGUUUGUCGCGUCUGCUGUGAAAGGCCGGGGCUUAACCCCGUGUAUUGCAGUGGGUACGGGCAGACUAGAGUGCAGUAGGGGAGACUGGAACUCCUGGUGUAGCGGUGGAAUGCGCAGAUAUCAGGAAGAACACCGAUGGCGAAGGCAGGUCUCUGGGCUGUAACUGACGCUGAGAAGCGAAAGCAUGGGGAGCGAACAGGAUUAGAUACCCUGGUAGUCCAUGCCGUAAACGUUGGGCACUAGGUGUGGGGGACAUUCCACGUUUUCCGCGCCGUAGCUAACGCAUUAAGUGCCCCGCCUGGGGAGUACGGCCGCAAGGCUA
rnacentral:rRNA from 1 species